ACUCAGUUGGUAGAGUACAAAGCUCUUAACCUUAUGGACGUGGGUUCAAGCCCCAU
rfam:Triticum aestivum genome assembly, contig: Triticum_aestivum_CS42_TGACv1_scaffold_031922_1BL